rnacentral:rRNA from 1 species
UACCAGCACCCCGAGUGGUCGGGACGUUUAUUGGGCCUAAAGCAUCCGUAGCCGGUCUUGCAAGUCUUCCGUUAAAUCCAGCUGCUUAACAGAUGGGCUGCGGAAGAUACUACAAGACUAGGAGGUGGGAGAGGCAAGCGGUACUCAGUGGGUAGGGGUAAAAUCCUCUGAUCCAUUGAAGACCACCAGUGGCGAAGGCGGCUUGCCAGAACGCGCUCGACGGUGAGGGAUGAAAGCUGGGGGAGCAAACCGG